rnacentral:rRNA from 1 species
UCCGUGGCUCGAGGACGAACGCUGGCGGCGUGCUUAACACAUGCAAGUCGAGCGGAAAGGCCCUUUCGGGGGUACUCGAGCGGCGAACGGGUGAGUAACACGUGAGUAAUCUGCCCUUGGCUUUGGGAUAACUACCGGAAACGGUGGCUAAUACCGGAUAUGACCAUGCUCGGCAUCGGGUGUGGUGGAAAGUUUUUUCGGCCAGGGAUGUGCUCGCGGCCUAUCAGCUUGUUGGUGGGGUAAUGGCCUACCAAGGCUUCGACGGGUAGCCGGCCUGAGAGGGUGACCGGCCACACUGGGACUGAGACACGGCCCAGACUCCUACGGGAGGCAGCAGUGGGGAAUAUUGGACAAUGGGCGGAAGCCUGAUCCAGCAACGCCGCGUGAGGGAUGACGGCCUUCGGGUUGUAAACCUCUUUCAGUACCGACGAAGCGCCGAUGAUGGUGGUGACGGUAGGUACAGAAGAAGCACCGGCCAACUACGUG